CCCUCCCCCUCUUUGGCAUUGUUGUUAGACCAACACUAGCAGAAGGCUCAUCCACUUACACAUCCAUGUAUAAAAGCUGCUGAGCUCCAGGCACCAUUAAUUUUCGGGGCAUAGGACAUGGAAGGACUCCCUAGUCUUGGGCAUCAUCCUCCCAGGUUGUACUUCCUCAGCACCCUUGGUGAGUUUGCCAAGAACUCCUUCAGCCUUGCAGUGAGCUAUAAACAGCACUGGAAUGCCCUCUCCCUCUUUGUGAACAGUUGCUGUAGUGUGUGACCUGUUCAGUGUGUGACCUGUGUGAUAUCGUCAUCAGAAAUUUGGAGAAGUCCUGCUCAGGAUACCAAACGUUGCCAGGUAAACUGGAGGCCCCUUCUUAGUAUCAUUAAUAAAAGAAUUUAAGAAUGGACUUAAAAGGAAGCUCAAAGACAGUUUUAUUAGAAUUUAAAAGAAAAAUCCCAGAGCAGGCAGCCUAUAAAUUUCAGCAUCUGCCGAGUGGAAAGAGUUGUAGAAAAGACAAAGAGAAAUCCAUGCCCUUUUGAGUUGGCAAGCAGUCACAUGACAAGGAAGGUAGCUUCAGACAAAGUGAGAAAACCCCAAGUACCAGAGAAAAAAUAUUUAGGCCCUGGCCAGCAUCGGACAGACAGAGACACAAAAUAAGAGAAAGGAGUUCCAGGCAAGCAAGAAAAUGAAGUAACUUGUACAGUGAGUCUGCACGCUGAGUUAACUAGGCACUGGAGAGACAGUAACACCUUGCUCUGCUAUGGGACACUAGUCACCUAUCAAUCCCUGCUAAUGAUGCAGUUCACUGAUGUCAGGUUGCCCUGGGAUCCGUUCUCCUCUGCUUUGCCAGAGUGUGUACUUGCACUCUCGCAACACCUCAGUUUCCCCCUGUUCAUGGCCAGCCCCUAACCCUGAAGCUGUCCCUUCACCGUCUCUAUGAUGUCACAUAGUUGGGAACACAGAGUGUGUACCCCGUCACAAUGACUUCCUUCACUUGGCAAUAUGCACUCAAGUUUCCUUGGGGCUUGGUACCUCUUUUCUCCUCUCUGCUGAAAAGCAUUCUACAAGUGUUGUGGUUUACUUAGCCACCCACUUAUCGAAGGAUAUUAUGGUUUUUCUCCCCAGUUCAAGACAGUAAUGAAUAAAGCUGCCAUAAACAUUUGUGUGGACAUAAAGUUUCAACUCAUUUGGGUGAAUGUCCAGAAACAUGCCUGCUGGGUUCUACAAUGAAUAUCACGUUUACCUCUGUAAACACUGUUUUUUUUUUUAAAGCUCUUUUAUCCAACAUUAUACUCGUAAUAAGUAAGAGUAAGGGCAUAAGUUAUAAGUUGACUUCCCACAGUGUAGAGCCAGAAGCAGGCCCUGCUUUUAUCUGUACUAAGUAUACUGAUCAAGCUUCUAAAAUUGUCCCUAAGUUCUCAUGUAUUUUCACUUAGUGAUUAAUAUGCUAUAUAGAUAUCUCCUUGGUUUCGUUCUGGUCUUGUCUUUUUUUGUUUGUUUGCUUAGGUUUUUUGUGUUUUUGUUUUAUUGAGACAGGGUUUCUCCAUGUAGCCCUUGCUGUCCUGAAACUUGCUCUGUAGACCAGGCUGGCCUUAAACUCAGAGAUCUGUUUGCCUCUGUCUCCCAAGGGUUGGGAUUAAAGACAUGAGCCGACACUGCCUGACUCAUUCUGGUCUUUUGAAUUUGACUGCCAAGACAGACUAGUCUGAGAAGGUCCCUACCCACAGAAUGUCAAUAUUUCAGUGAGAGAGUAGGGGGGAGAAUGUAUAAAUAAUUCCUGAAAUCGUGUAGACAUACUAGAAAGGGAGAGAUCACAUCCAGGCAGGCAAGAAAAUCAAUGCUAAUUUAUACCAUAAGUCAGCAAGUUGAGCUAAAUAAGAAUUGGGGGAGAGGUUCAGGGAGGGGCAAUACAGGGACACUUUGACUCCAAGAAUAUAUUAUUAGAAGUUUUCUUAAAAUAUUGUUCACAAUGUGGCCCUAAACAAGACAAGACAAGAAUGUUAAGGAGAGAAAUUUGUGGUUAGGGCAAAGAAAAAAAUGUCAAAAGUAGAAACAAGAUAUUUAUACCGUCUACUUCAUGCCCUCUAACUAAAGAGGAAGAAUCUUGCUUGCUAUUUUGCACAUGGUGAAAAGCUCAAAGACAGCUCUCUGAACUGAAGAAGGAAGCUUUCACCGAACAUACACCGUAAAAAGUUUUCACUUCUGCCCUCAAAGUUCAGCUACAGAAAAGACAAACAAAAACAGAAAUAUCACCCUCUCAGAUACUAAGACUAUUUUUUUUCAUGAGGUUGGACUGAGCCUAGAGUAUAUAUUUUCAGAGGUUUGUGGUCAUUAACUAUUCUCUACCACUCUGGGAAAUGUGAGCUUGGAUUGGCUCCAAGAAUCUUAGCAACAAGACAACAGCUUCCAAGCAGAGCCCCAGGCUUCUGAUGGGGCCAGAAUCCUGGAGACAAGGAGCUAUUUAUUGACACGGACUGUCUAUCUUCUAAGGGUAGAAUCCCAAAGAUGGAGCUAACGAGGAGCCCUGGUGCCAGGAUGUCACAUUGGGUUAGGAGGGCCAACCCAUUAGUGGUCUGUAUGUCUGUGCUCACCCCGAACCAGAGAAGAUGCAGAACACACAUAUGCAACGGCUUCUGAAAGGCCUUGGCACUUGACACUUGUGAGUCUAGACAAUUGCUGUGUUGAGCUGGGAGUGUGGGAAAGGGCUCAGGCCGAGAACACUUCCUGCACAGACGGCCAGUGCUGUCAUGGAGCAGCCAAGGCUGCCAGCCACAGGUCCCCAUGGCAGGAGUGUGCACAAAGCCCUGGUGAGAGGGCUUUCUGUGUGAUGAGCCUUAAGGCGAAGGGCAGUCUCUGCUGUCCUUCUUGUACCACGUCUAGGGAAGAACUCACCCCAGGCUCAAGCACUGGCUUGGAUGGGGAAGGAGACUGCUGCACAGCAGUGGGUAUCCCACAGUUACCGGAGGAAGAUCUGCUUCUCAGAAAACUCCAAGAGGAGGCAUCAUCUCAGCACACCAUCCACAACCACCUAUAGCGGGUUGGGAACACCUGGGAGAGACUUUACAAACACACUGAAGUUUGUGUCAAUCACAGCCAAAGCUUUGCUCGCUGGCGUUGCCUGAGCUUCCUGAAGUGUGGUGCGCUAAGCGCCUUACCUGUGGUUCACUCACUAAAGCCCCACAACUAUACAAAUGGAAAGCAUCAUAAAGCCCAUUGUACAGGUAGGAAAACAGAGGCUUGGGGAGACUAAGGAGACUAAACUUUCAGAGUGCUGGUCUACGGGCUGGUGACAUCUUCGUCACCUGGAAAUUUCUCCAGCCACUUGCCAGACCUACUGCAACAGAAGCUCCCAAGCAACAUGAGCCAUCCUUGAGCAAGUCCUGCAGGUAAAUUCUAAGCAAGGGUGAGGCCCUGCGGGAGGGGCAGUUGGCCAACAACCACAUUGUAAGCAGGACCCAAACCGAGCAGUGCUGAGGGCCGAAAUCCUGCUCCCAACAUCUCCUAACUAUUGCUCCCCAAAUUUACUUGAGACAGAGACAUUAGUGCUCCACUUCUGCCUACACCCACAAAUUCGAGAUUCAGGGACUCGGCAAACAGUAACAGACACUUGCCACAGAAGCAUCUAGCCAGGUUCACACGGUGGCAUAAACAGGAGUAACCUGUCACUUCCUCCAUUAAGGCUCUAGCUUCUUCCUGAAUUCAUAGAGUCUGCUACAUUCCUCAGAGGAAUGGAGGUUAAACACCCCACCCCAGAAACAACGCCCAGGCCUCUGGAAUCUUCAUUUCACACCCAAGAGGCAGCAGUACAGCUCGAAGGAAUGACAUAAAACACUAAAAUAAUUAACUGGGUGUGGUGGUUCAUGUCUACAAUCCCAGCACCCAAGAGCCUGAGAGAAUUUGGGGCUAAGACUGGGCUACAGUGUGAGAUCCUGUCUCACCACACCAAAUAAAAAUAAAACAAAAGAAGAAACAACUACAGAGUUCAGAGCCUCUAGUUAGCUUUCCAGGGAUGUAAUCACAGAGUACCACAAACUGGUGCCUUAAGAUGAUGGGAAGUUGAUAUCACCCUAUUCUGGAGCCCUGAAAUCAAGGUGUGGGCAGUGCUCCUCCCAGACCUACAUGAGAGGGGAUGCUUCCUUACCUGUCCCAGCUUCUCUUGGUCCUCAGUGUCACCUGGUAACCUCUCUCUUCCCACUCUCUCCCUUCUAUCUAUGCCUGAAUUCCCCCUUUUAUAAAGACUCUUUAUAUUAGAUGAAGCCCCCUCCCAAUUCCAAAUGAGUUGUCUUGGCUAAGUACAUCUAAGUCAGGUCAUAUUCUGAGGCACUAUGGGCCAGGACUCUACACCCCUUUCAGGUCAAAGGGACCACAAAUCAACAGUUACAACAGUCCAGGAUCCCGUUUUUUGCCUUUAUGAUCAGCUCUACAUUAUACUGCUUUGGUUCCCACUCAGCAACAGAGGCUCAGGCAAAGUAACUUCCAAACCAGAUUAUUUUUUCCAAAAGAAUGUUUUAAAUUUAGUUUAUGUGUUUGAAUACUUUCCCUACAUGUAUAUAUGUAUAUCAUGUGUGUGUGUGGUAUCCUAGGAGGUCAAAAGGCAUUAGGUCUCUUGGAACUGGAGUUAAGAAUGGUUGUGAGCCACUGUGUGGUUGCUAGGAACUGAACUCAGGUCCUCUCCAAGAGCAACAAGCACUCUCAACCACUGAGCCAUUUCUCCAUCCCAACACCAGAUAAUUUCAAUGGGUAGAAACCAAGUUGGACCAGAUGUCCUAAGGCUCAUCCACAAUAGCUUCGGUGAAGACACAGAGUUCACUGAGAACCUGUACCCACGUGAAAAGGAUGACACCAAUGGCACCUUCAUGACCACAUGAGCCAAAAGGAUGGGCAGCUUCAUGGGAGUCCCUAGAGGACAAUGUCAGACAGGUUUAGCGCUCCAUCUCCUUCCCCAACCCACUUCAGACUCUGAAUUAAUGGUCCAAGGUAAGAGGAAGUAGUCAUUAUGCCUACCCUUGCCAGGCAAGGCAGCAAGACAUGAGUCUUGGCUCUCCACAGCCCCAUUCUUCAUCUGCUUCAUUCUUGUAACUGAUCUCAUUUCAAGGAUGAGUACCAACUCAAGGGAGCUUAAGAAAAUGAAGGCUGACUCAGCAAGAGGACUUCAAGGGCAGAAAGAGUCACCUGGCCCCAUGGGAACCACAAAGACAAGAACAGGCCCCAUCUUUCAAGGGUCACAUGUCCCGUUUCUUUUCUCUCUGCCUCUGCUUGCAUCUCCAUUUCUCGCCUCUAAAGGCUUCCCGGUCACCACCUCGGUCUCUACAGUAAUCUUCAAGGCUGCCUCAGUUCCCCAGGACAUAAAGCCUUUCAGCUCAGCUCCCCAUUACUCAAGGUCAGUCCCAUCAUGUUCCAAUCCUCAAUUGCCAGGAGAGCAACCCAAGGCCAAUCUGGACCAGAGGCGGCAUUCCUCCACCCAAUUAGCUGUGACAAGAGGUAUCUAUCCUGGUGACUCCUCAAGGACUCUGGAUAGAGACAGUCACUACAGAAGGUGCUGUGGGUAUGCAGCAUUCAUGGCAUGUCCGCUACAGUAAUGAAGACAGUCAUGGUAGUUUCUAGUCACCUAGUAGAUGACAGACACCGAAACCAUGCUGUAUGUGAUCCUCAUUUCAAACUUUUGGGGUCAUUGUAGGUAUGGAAACUUAGUGGAGCAACUUAUCCAGGGCCACUCGGCUUGUAAGAGAUGAGAGGAAUCCAUUCCAGGCCACCAGGUUCCAUGAUGGAACACUCGAUUUCCUGUUACCGUUCAACCCCAGGCCAUUGCACCAGAAGAUGGUACCACUUGACCAAAUCGGGGAAAAUAAGUUAGCAGUAUCUAUCCUGCCUAUGCCCCAGAAUAUCCUGAGCAUGAGAUGAAACCCCAGGCUGGAAAGGCCUUGAGAAAGUAGCACAGGUACUAGUGGAUCCUGAAGUUUUCCCAGGGACUACACACAUUUUCACCUCUGUUCUCUGGACAGCCUGGCCAAGAACACAGCAGAGGCUUAGCAGGUAGCCAAGACCUCCUGGCAGGAACUUCCUGCUGCUCCCCUUCUGGUACUGUGACCCCAAGUAAACAACAUCUGAGUCCUGCACUCCAAGGAGGGUGACUGUGGAUUUGGAGUAACUGUUUUUCACUGGGAAACUUCACCAACCAAAGAGUUGGUGAACUGUGGCCAAGGUGGCUAUAACAGCACACACCAGAAUUUGGGGUAACUAUCAGAUGUUAAUGGCACCCAUCAAACCCCAAGAUGGUGCUGUCAGAUCCAUGAAUUCUAUCCUAGGAGGGAGGUAAAUUCUGCCAUGGCAGAGAUGAAAGAUGUCAUCCAGAAGCAGGUCAUAUGAUUUGGGUGCUUGCUUAUGCUUGUUCCCUUUGUGUGUCCACUGGGCUGGGCAGGGCUGGGCUGCUCAGAUGUUUGGUCAAUCACUAGGGCAGAUAUCACUAUGUAGCCUUUUGUGUAUGUGACCGUCUUAGUCACUGUUCUAUUGCUGUGAAGGCAACUCUCAUAAAGGAAGACAUUUAGUUUCAAAGGUUUACUCCAGAUCAGCAUGGCAGGAAGCACAGCAACACACAGGCAGAUAUGGUGCUGGAGAGGAGCUGAGAGUUCUACGUCUGGAUCUGCAGGCAGCAGGAAGAGAGAGAGAGGAGAGAGAGAGAGAGAGAGAGACGCUAGGACUGACUUGUACUUGAAAGUUCAUGGCGGAUCUCUGUGAGUUUGAGGCCAGCCUGGUCUCCAGGGCCAGUGCCAGGAUAGGCUCCAAAGCUACACAGAAACCCUGUCUUGAAAAACAAAAAAAAAAGAAAGAAAGAAAGAAAAAAGAAAGUUCAUGCCUAGUGACACACUUCCUCCAACAAGGCCACACCUACUCCAACAAGGCCACAUCUCCUAAUCCCUGUCAAGUAGCACCACUCCCUAAUGACCAAGCAUUUAAAUCUAUGAGCCUAUGGGGACCAUUCCAAUUCAAAGCACCACAGUGACUGACAUCAUCGCUUGACUUCAAGUAAAGCAGAUUAUCCACUCUGAUGUAGGUGGGUUCGUCCAAUCUAUGGAAGGACUUAAUAGCAAGCAUCCAAACUUCCUAGAAAAGAAUUUCUGCCUUAAGAAGUUUUAUCUGAGUUUCUGGUCCACUGGCCUCACUGAAGAAGUUCAGAUCAAGGCCUUCAGUAUCAAUUCUUGUUGGCCUUGCCAGUAUGCCAAGACACCACUCUGUCUUUCUCUCUAGAGAACCCUGCCUGAUGCAGUCCCCAAGGACUGAACCAUUCUUCGUGCACUGAUGACAGUCCCCUCACACCAACUGAGUAGCCACUGCUGGGGGCACUGGAGCAGGUAAGCAGGGACCAUGACAUUCCAUGCUCAGAGCAGAGGGCUGGACCAUGAAGUCCCAUGCUCAGAGCAGAGGACUGGACCAUGAAGUCCCAUGCUCAGAGCAGAGGACUGGACCAUGAAGUCCCAUGCUCACAGCAGAGGACUGGACCAUGAAGUCCCCUGCUCAGAGCAGAGGGCUGGACCAUGAAAUCCUGUGCUCACAGCAGAGGACUGGACCAAGAAGUCCCAUGCUCACAGCAGAGCAUGGAGCAAGCCUCCCUUCUUCCUAGGGCUCCUGGCUCUCCCGACAGAGCCUAGGUAAUUCCCAAAAGUUCCGUGAGUUGGUGUGAACCCCCAUUCCUCAGCACAGAGCAAUUCCACGGACAUCACCCUGGAACCUCAUGGAAACACAGAAGCUUGAGACCCACCUCCACCAGCUGAAGCAGAACUGUGUCUUCACAGGAUUCCUAGACUCUUAAACACGCACACAGCCUUUGAGCAGCACUGGCAUUGAAGCCGCCCUGUUUUCCAGGAUGGACUCUUAACCAAAUGACUUGGUUUGGCUUCCUGAUGGAACUCCAGCCAACUCUGAGCACAUGGACAAAACCAAUAAGGAGAUAGACGUAUUUAUAACUAGCUGAUAGGUUACGUUAAUGAGGCUGCACAUGGUGAAACAGUAGCAAAGGU
ensembl:lncRNA